GACGAACGCUGGCGGCGUGCCUAAUACAUGCAAGUAGAACGCUGAAGGAGGAGCUUGCUUCUCUGGAUGAGUUGCGAACGGGUGAGUAACGCGUAGGUAACCUGCCUGGUAGCGGGGGAUAACUAUUGGAAACGAUAGCUAAUACCGCAUAAUAGUAGAUGUUGCAUGACAUUUGCUUAAAAGGUGCAAUUACAUCACUACCAGAUGGACCUGCGUUGUAUUAGCUAGUUGGUGGGGUAACGGCUCACCAAGGCGACGAUACAUAGCCGACCUGAGAGGGUGAUCGGCCACACUGGGACUGAGACACGGCCCAGACUCCUACGGGAGGCAGCAGUAGGGAAUCUUCGGCAAUGGACGGAAGUCUGACCGAGCAACGCCGCGUGAGUGAAGAAGGUUUUCGGAUCGUAAAGCUCUGUUGUAAGAGAAGAACGAGUGUGAGAGUGGAAAGUUCACACUGUGACGGUAUCUUACCAGAAAGGGACGGCUAACUACGUG
rnacentral:rRNA from 1 species